UAAGUGAGCUACUUAAAAAUAGCUUUAGAGCCAACCCGUCUCUGUUGCAAAAGAGUGGGAAGAUUUUUAAGUAGAAGUGACAGACCUAUCGAACUUAGAGAUAGCUGGUUUUUUAAGAAAAGAAUUUCAGUUCUGUUUUAAAUUUUCUAUUAAACAAAAAUAGCCCAAAAUUUAAAAAUUAUUCAAAUAAGGCACAGCUUAUUUGAAACAGGAUACAACCUAAAGUCCAGGGUAAGAUAAGCCAAAUUUUGAUAAGUGGGCCUAAAAGCAGCCAUCUUUUAAAAAGCGUCAAAGCUUAGUUAAUUUCAUUUAUUUAUAAGCACACCUACUUCUAACCCUAACUCACUAUUAAAAAACUCCAUAAAACUAUGGAAGCUAUUAUGCUAGAACAAGUAACAAGAAAAAGACUUUCUCCAAAAUGUAAGCUUAAGCCAUAAUAGACAUACUACUGGCAAUUAACGCCAAUAAAUUUAUUGUAGCAACCCAACAAGAAAACUUUACACCUUAUGACGUUAAUCUUACACUAGC
rnacentral:rRNA from 1 species